rnacentral:rRNA from 1 species
CCUUGGCAUACUAAGAACUUUCCAGAGAUGGAUUGGUGCCUUCGGGAACUUAGAUACAGGUGCUGCAUGGCUGUCGUCAGCUCGUGUCGCGAGAUGUUGGGUUAAGUCCCGNAACGAGCGCAACCCUUUUCCUAUUUGCCAGCGGGUCAUGCCGGGAACUUUUAAGGAUACUGCCAGUGACAAACUGGAGGAAGGCGGGGACGACGUCAAGUCAUCAUGGCCCUUACGGCCAGGGCUACACACGUGCUACAAUGGUCGGUACAAAGGGUUGCUACCUCGCGAGAGGAUGCUAAUCUCAAAAAGCCGAUCGUAGUCCGGAUCGCAGUCUGCAACUCGACUGCGUGAAGUCGGAAUCGCUAGUAAUCGCGGAUCAGAAUGCCGCGGUGAAUACGUUCCCGGGCCUUGUACACACCGCCCGUCACACCAUGGGAGUUUGUUGCACCAGAAGUAGGUAGUCUAACCGCAAGGAGGACGCUUACCACGGUGUGGCCGAUGACUGGGGUGAAGUCGUAACAAGGUAAGCGUAGAUGA